rnacentral:rRNA from 1 species
UACGUAGGGGGCAAGCGUUGUCCGGAAUCAUUGGGCGUAAAGCGCGUGUAGGCGGCCCGAUAAGUCCGCUGUGAAAGUCCAGGGCUCAACCCUGGGAUGCCGGUGGAUACUGUCGGGCUCGAGUCCGGAAGAGGCGAGUGGAAUUCCUGGUGUAGCGGUGAAAUGCGCAGAUAUCAGGAGGAACACCAACGGCGAAGGCAGCUCGCUGGGACGGUACUGACGCUGAGGAGCGAAAGCGUGGGGAGCGAACAGG